rnacentral:rRNA from 1 species
AUUGAACGCUGGCGGCAUGCCUUACACAUGCAAGUCGAACGGCAGCACGGGAGCAAUCCUGGUGGCGAGUGGCGAACGGGUGAGUAAAGUAUCGGAACGUGCCGAGUAGUGGGGGAUAACGCAUCGAAAGGUGUGCUAAUACCGCAUACGUACUGAGGUAGAAAGUGGGGGACCUUCGGGCCUCACGCUAUUCGAGCGGCCGACGUCUGAUUAGCUAGUUGGUGAGGUAAAGGCUCACCAAGGCGACGAUCAGUAGCGGGUCUGAGAGGAUGAUCCGCCACACUGGGACUGAGACACGGCCCAGACUCCUACGGGAGGCAGCAGUGGGGAAUUUUGGACAAUGGGCGCAAGCCUGAUCCAGCCAUGCCGCGUGUCUGAAGAAGGCCUUCGGGUUGUAAAGGACUUUUGUCCGGGAGCAAAUGCUGGUGGCUAACAUCCACCGGAGCUGAGAGUACCGGAAGAAUAAGCACCGGCUAACUACGUGCCAGCCGCCGCAGUAAAAC